rnacentral:rRNA from 1 species
UACAGGGGGUGCAAACGUUGCUCGGAAUCAUUGGGCGUAAAGCGCACGUAGGCGGUUCGUUAUGUCGGAUUGGAAAGCCCUUGGCUUAACCGAGGAAGUGCAUCCGAAACUGGCGAGCUAGAGUACUAAAGAGGAUCGCGGAAUUCCCGGUGUAGAGGUGAAAUUCGUAGAUAUCGGGAGGAACACCGGUGGCGAAGGCGGCGAUCUGGGUAGAUACUGACGCUGAGGUGCGAAAGCGUGGGGAGCAAACAGG